rnacentral:rRNA from 1 species
AGUGGCGAACGGGUGAGUAAUAUAUCGGAACGUACCCAAGAGUGGGGGAUAACGUAGCGAAAGUUACGCUAAUACCGCAUACGAUCUAAGGAUGAAAGCAGGGGACCGCAAGGCCUUGUGCUCCUGGAGCGGCCGAUAUCUGAUUAGCUAGUUGGUGAGGUAAAGGCUCACCAAGGCAACGAUCAGUAGCUGGUCUGAGAGGACGACCAGCCACACUGGAACUGAGACACGGUCCAGACUCCUACGGGAGGCAGCAGUGGGGAAUUUUGGACAAUGGGGGCAACCCUGAUCCAGCAAUGCCGCGUGAGUGAAGAAGGCCUUCGGGUUGUAAAGCUCUUUUGUCAGGGAAGAAAAGGUCGUGGCUAAUAUCCACGACUGCUGACGGUACCUGAAGAAUAAGCACCGGCUAACUACGUGCCAGCAGCCGCGGUAAUACGUAGGGUGCAAGCGUUAAUCGGAAUUACUGGGCGUAAAGCGUGCGCAGGCGGUUUCGUAAGUCUGUCGUGAAAUCCCCGGGCUUAACCUGGGAAUGGCGAUGGAGACUGCGAGGCUAGAGUUUGGCACAGGGGGGUAGAAUUCCACGUGUAGCAGUGAAAUGCGUAGAGAUGUGGAGGAACACCGAUGGCGAAGGCAGCCCCCUGGGUCAAAACUGACGCUCAUGCACGAAAGCGUGGGGAGCAAACAGGAUUAGAUACCCUGGUAGUCCACGCCCUAAACGAUGUCUACUAGUUGUUGGGUCUUAAUUGACUUACUAACGCAGCUAACGCGUGCAGUAGACCGCCUGGGGAGUACGGUCGCAGAUUAAACUCAAAUGAAUUGACGGGACCCGCACAGCGGUGGAUGAUGUGGAUUAAUUCGAUGCAACGCGAAGAACCUUACCUACCCUGACAUGGCAGAAUCCUGAGACAUCUGGUAUGCUCGGAAGAAGACAUGCACACAGUGCUGCAUGCCUGUCGUCAGCUC